UCACUGCUGUUGAGUCCCAUCCUAGGACGAAACGGCCGUCCAGUGC
rfam:Schistosoma mattheei strain Denwood, Zambia genome assembly, scaffold: SMTD_scaffold0002475